AGUGAACGCUGGCGGUAGGCCUAACACAUGCCAGUCGAACGGCAGCACAGUAAGAGCUUGCUCUUACGGGUGGCGAGUGGCGGACGGGUGAGGAAUACAUCGGAAUCUACUUUUUCGUGGGGGAUAACGUAGGGAAACUUACGCUAAUACCGCAUACGACCUACGGGUGAAAGCAGGGGAUCCUCGGACCUUGGGCGAUUGAAUGAGCCGAUGUCGGAUUAGCUAGUUGGCGGGGUAAAGGCCCACCAAGGCGACGAUCCGUAGCUGGUCUGAGAGGAUGAUCAGCCACACUGGAACUGAGACACGGUCCAGACUCCUACGGGAGGCAGCAGUGGGGAAUAUUGGACAAUGGGCGCAAGCCUGAUGCAGCCAUACCGCGUGGGUGAAGAAGGCCUUCGGGUUGUAAAGCCCUUUUGUUGGGAAAGAAAAGCAGCAGGUUAAUACCCCGCUGUUCUGACGGUACCCAAAGAAUAAGCACCGGCUAACUUCGUG
rnacentral:rRNA from 1 species